rnacentral:antisense_RNA from 1 species
CUUCACCGACCCCAGCCACAACGGCCGCUCGUCCGGCCGGUCCUGACCGUAGGUGGCGAUCAGCGCCUCGGCCUC